CUGUCACUUAUAGAUGGACCCGCGGUGUAUUAGCUAGUUGGUGAGGUAACGGCUCACCAAGGCAACGAUACAUAGCCGACCUGAGAGGGUGAUCGGCCACACUGGGACUGAGACACGGCCCAGACUCCUACGGGAGGCAGCAGUAGGGAAUCUUCCGCAAUGGACGAAAGUCUGACGGAGCAACGCCGCGUGAGUGAAGAAGGUUUUCGGAUCGUAAAACUCUGUUGUAAGGGAAGAACAAGUACGUUAGUAAC
rnacentral:rRNA from 1 species